rnacentral:rRNA from 1 species
AUUGAACGCUGGCGGCAGGCCUAACACAUGCAAGUCGAGCGGAUGAACGGUGCUUGCUCCUGGUUUCAGCGGCGGACGGGUGAGUGAUGCCUAGGAAUCUCCCUGGCAGUGGUGUCUAGCGUCCGGACACGGGCGCUAAUACCCCAUACGUGCAGAGGGCGAAAGGGGGGGAGCUUCGGACCUCACGCUAUCAGGUGAGCGUAGGUCGGAUUAGCUAGUUGGUGGGGUAAAGGCCUACCAAGGCGACGAUCCGUAACUGGUCUGAGAGGAUGAUCAGUCACACUGGAACUGAGACACGGUCCAGACUCCUACGGGAGGCAGCAGUGGGGAAUAUUGGACAAUGGGCGAAAGCCUGAUCCAGCCAUGCCGCGUGUGUGAAGAAGGUCUUCGGAUUGUAAAGCACUUUAAGUGGGGAGGAAGGGCAGUAAGUUAAUACCUUGCUGUUUUGACGGUACCAACAGAAUAAGCACCGGCUAACUUCGUG